UGGCCCAAAGCAGCAAACUCUGACCCAGUGUGGGCAGAGCCCCAGCAUCCAUCAAAGGCCGGGACCCACUUACUUCCCCUGUUUCAAAAUGGUCCCAUAUUUUGUCAGUCUAUUGCAAGCCUGUAAUAUUUUGUAUUUUCUCUCCUUUUCAGGGCUUGUACAUCUUCCUGGUCUAUGCAAUCUAUAACAGUGAGGUAAGAGAAAGCUCUCCCUGGGUUUUGAUCCAUAUUCGGAACAGUCCUAUAUUAGAAAUGAAACCGGUAACCAGAAUCUUAGCAAAUGCAAAGGUUGAUAUUCUGUCCUGGCCCUUCGCUCCCAUGACAGCUGUUGCUUUUGCCCCCUUGACUUGUUCGGAGGAGGUGGUUGUUUUAUCAGAACAGCACUGGCCCUGUCUCACGACCCUGCUCAACUUUCAGGUGAGGAACGCCAUACAGAGGAUGAAGGAGAAGAAGAAAGCUCUCUCGUUCACAAACUGUUCUCAUCCGAUCAAUUAUCUGUCGAGUCCAAGAAAUACAACCUCCUGGGAGACUGGGAAGCUGAGUCCUUCUGCGCCCGAGAGCGCCAUGUCCAGCCCUGUGCAGAAAGAUCCCCCACUGAAGAACAUUACCAACAAAGGAAACUUUGGUGCUAAAAUUCCUAUGGGGAUUUCCUCAAUGAUGUCACCAGAGAGACCGGUACGUAAUGUCUUGAGUUAUUUUCCACCUUUCACAUGCAGAAUGCUAUGUAGAUG
rnacentral:lncRNA from 1 species